UCUGUUCGAUGACUCGUUUUUUUCUUUUGUCUCAGGUAGAAGCCUUCCUCCUCUCCCACUCGCACCACUGUCAUCACUAUCAACGGAUCCGUUCAGCUGCCUCAUCUUCCAUCACAGUCUUCUCAACUUGGUGCUCUUCUUUUUGUGAGAAUUAAAGCCACUGCUUGCUCUAGAAUCUUCAGUCUCCACCAACCCAGAAAGGGCUAUCUUAGCUUCCCUUGUGAUAUUUCCAUUUAGUUAUUUUACUUCUAUAUGCCUUCAACCAUUUAUCUUCAUGUUUUGUGAUGGCAAACUUAUCCUUGUCGUAGAUUUAUUGUGCUGAUUUUUAGCUUAGGUUAAUCUUCUUUUUAUAUGAAUGACUGCUUUCCUGGAGGUUUUC
rnacentral:lncRNA from 1 species